CAAUUUCAGUGCCGUAGCUAAUGGAAACAACUUUGCAACCAUUGUUUGAAUGUACAAACUCAUGAAACUGGACCCACAAGUCUGUAAUCAAGAAAAAUUUCGCUCUCACCUAGUUUUUGGAUUUCCUCUUGGACAAGGUCAAACAGUGCAAUCCCGUGUGUAAAGAAAAUUGUGAGUUAUUCAAUUUCAAAUGCCAGGUGUUUGACUAGGCCUGGCAGCUAAGUGGGUGCCAAAAAACAAAUGAUGAUUCAUAAUGAUCAUAUAAUGUCUUAAGAGAUGGGCUCAUUAAUAGAUAUGAUACAGUAACAAACCAUCUAAUAUGGGCAUAGUUUAAUAACCAUAUACUGUAUAUGAUUAAAUUAAGCUUUUCCCUCUCAUUCUCCCAUGUUUCAAACCAUUUUGGGAUCUGAGUGUUAUAUUCUUAUUUGCAUAAUUAAUUCUCCUCAGACUCUCCAGAGUCAAAACUGUACAGUAUUAGGCAACUUAGUUAUAUGGCCACUUUAACCAAUAGUUUUUAAUUGGUCCCUCUCCAGCAGGCAUUACUAACAAAAUGGUACCUUAACCUAAUGCCAUUCUAUAUGUACAAGUUGUGAUUCAUGUUUGACAGUUGAGUACAAUCUGAAGCAGAUCCAAAAUCCAGACACAUCCAACUAAAUCUCCUUCCUCAGGUCUGGGGGCCCAAAGCCAAAUUUAGCAACUCAACUACAGCCUCAGCUGAGACCAACGAACUCAGGAUAGAGUAGGAAUCAAAGCUGGGACCUUUUAGGAGAGUGCAUUACCCACUCAGCAGAGUUACAGCUUAGGUUCUUGUUCAAACUUUUAAUCAUUCUCCUUCUAUCUCAAGAAGAAAAACGAAGACGUGCACAUGGGCUCAUUGAGUUUCGGAUAAAGGUCACAGACCCGAAAUGUUCGUUUCUCAACGCAAAUGCUGCCAGACAGCUGCUGAGUAUUACCAGUAUUUUCCAUUAUUAUUUCCAAUUUCCAGCAUCUGCAGUAUUUUGCUUUUACAUACAUCCACAUGGACAGUUUAGGAUGGUUUGGAAACUGGCAGCAGGUUGGAAUACGGAACAAAAGGAGGUUCAAUGGUAUUUAUUGGACACAAUAGAAAUAUCUACUUUUAUAGUCAUGCUCAGUACAGGCGUGAAGAUAUUACAAAUUUUAAAGCUGUAUUUUAAAAGUGAACACAAAAGCUGUUAAGAUGGCUGCAGUAUACCAUAUGACUUCUGGUAUUUGAAAUGUAGACAGUAGAGUCUGCAGCCAUAAUCUGAUUAAAAAUGGACCUUUAGUGAAUGAACCACAAAGCCACGUGGAAUUCACACCUAUGGACUGACUAUGGGGGUUGGCAGACAACUCAUCUCCAUGUUUCAUCAUGGACAAAAGAGACCUCGAAGCUCAAUAAAUGUUACAAGAAUGUGGAAUGGAUCCUAUUGACUUUUCAUUGUAUUGUGAUGGCCCCUCAUCCAAACACAAAGUCAUUGCCUGCCUCAAACUCAUCACAAGAUGUUUAUCAGCCAACACACCACUUUAUUUGCAAAAAGACUUUAGACUUGCAACAGGUCACAUGGGUGAGACAGUCAUGUUUGUUGCCCACUUUUAAAGGUAAUAGCAGAAGCUGUUCUGGGACAGGGGAACCAUCAGAAAAGCCAAUGAACCAGCUGCAGUCAACUAAGUAGCCAACGUGAUAAACAGUAAUACCUUGAAAGUGGGAGGACUCUCCCCAGCCUGUUCCAACUUCAAGUUCACGUGAGAACUAACCUCCUGGUGAUUCAGCCACAAGAAAUCUUGCAGCUUACUGAGAAUCCUCUGCUUUGCAAAACCUUCACACCUGCCAAAGCAUCAAUUCAUCUAAGAGACAACAGGCCUGCUACAAAAGAGACUGAAAUUAUUCCAAGUUGUAAUCGUGUUGCUUUUUUCUUCAUUUGUAUCUAAAUUGUGUGUGAGUAAUAGUGCGUGAGAGUCAAGUAAGUGGGCCAUUUUGUUUUUAAGCUCCGGGGGCAACUGAGAAAUAAUAAGUAACCUUUAUUUUUAAAUUCAAAGAAGCUUGCUGCUGGAAUUCUUUAUAUUGAGUCAACCACCAAGGGUAAGAAAAUACACACACCUCACACAUAAAAACACAUUGCUCAUGGGCAGUAAGAAAACACAAAUUCUGUGACAACGGAUAUUUAAUAGAUUUUCUAUAAUAAAAAAGCAGUUCUCCCCAGAGUUGGCAAAGCUCCCAAUUAGCUGUUCUCUUGCUUGCACUUGCGAAAUCAGAACUAGAAAAAGUCCACAACCACUGAACAUGUACAUCAGGCAAUGCAAAUAUGGAGCUGCCUGUUACUUCUAACAGGUUUAUAAUCUCUACAUGAUUUCUGGACUGGCAAUAAAUAUGGCCAAAAGUUUUGUUUUAUCACUAUGAGAUAUUCGAUCCAAUCAUAAUGUGGUAAAUGUUAUCACAAAAUGAUAUGUAUGGUCUAGAGCAAAUAUUCCAUUCUGAAAUAAUGACACCCAUGAGGAGCAUUUUUAAUACAAAGCAAAAUGCAACCCUUGACUUCCACAUGCAUCCACUGGAACAUAAGGUAAUUAUGUUCAGAAAAUUAUAAUUUGAGUUCCUUUUUGAUGGUUAUCGAUCUCAGUACAGUUGUGUGAAAUUUAACUGGCUGGCUAUAGCCAAACAUUCUUGCUCCUAUCACCAAUUAUAUCUCCAGCAGCAAGUAUUUUAAACAUAUGACUGACUUUUCUUUUUAAAAAGAAAUCCUACCAAUAAAUGGUGAUCUGAUACACAAAACAAAA